GCGAACGCUGGCGGCAGGCUUCACACAUGCAAGUCGAGCGGGCAUCCUUGUGGUGUCAGCGGCAGACGGGUGAGUAACGCGUGGGAACGUGCCCUUCGGUUCGGAAUAACUCAGGGAAACUUGAGCUAAUACCGGAUACGUGCGAGAGCAGAAAGGUUUAUCUGCCGAAGGAUCGGCCCGCGUCUGAUUAGCUAGUUGGUGAGGUUACGGCUCACCAAGGCGACGAUCAGUAGCUGGUCUGAGAGGAUGAUCAGCCACACUGGGACUGAGACACGGCCCAGACUCCUACGGGAGGCAGCAGUGGGGAAUAUUGGACAAUGGGGGCAACCCUGAUCCAGCCAUGCCGCGUGAGUGAUGACGGCCUUAGGGUUGUAAAGCUCUUUUCUCCGGGACGAUAAUGACGGUACCGGAGGAAUAAGCCCCGGCUAACUUCGUG
rnacentral:rRNA from 1 species